AUUGAACGCUGGCGGCAUGCCUUACACAUGCAAGUCGAACGGCAGCACGGGAGCAAUCCUGGUGGCGAGUGGCGAACGGGUGAGUAAUAUAUCGGAACGUGCCCAGUCGUGGGGGAUAACGUAGCGAAAGCUACGCUAAUACCGCAUACGAUCUAUGGAUGAAAGCGGGGGAUCGCAAGACCUCGCGCGAUUGGAGCGGCCGAUAUCAGAUUAGGUAGUUGGUGGGGUAAAGGCUCACCAAGCCGACGAUCUGUAGCUGGUCUGAGAGGACGACCAGCCACACUGGGACUGAGACACGGCCCAGACGCCUACGGGAGGCAGCAGUGGGGAAUUUUGGACAAUGGGCGCAAGCCUGAUCCAGCAAUGCCGCGUGCAGGAUGAAGGCCUUCGGGUUGUAAACUGCUUUUGUACGGAGCGAAAAGGCUUCCACUAAUACUGGGGGCUCAUGACGGUACCGUAAGAAUAAGCACCGGCUAACUACGUGCCAGCCGCCGCGGUAACAC
rnacentral:rRNA from 1 species